UAGAUGGUAGUAUAACAAAUACUUUUCGUUUACACCGAAAAAUUGGCAUUCACCGCCUCAUCUA
rnacentral:tRNA from 1 species